UAGGGAAUCUUCGGCAAUGGACGAAAGUCUGACCGAGCAACGCCGCGUGAGUGAAGAAGGUUUUCGGAUCGUAAAACUCUGUUGUUAGAGAAGAACAAGGACGUUAGUAACUGAACGUCCCCUGACGGUAUCUAACCAGAAAUCCACGGCUAACUACGUGCAAGCAGCCGCGGUAAUACGUAGGUGGCAAGCGUUGUUCGGAUUCAUUGGUCGUAAAGCGAGCGCAGGCGGUUUCUUAAGUCUGAUGUGAAAGCCUCCGGCUCAACAGGGGAGGGUGCUUGGAAACUAGGAGACUUGAGUGCAGAAGAGGAGAGUGGAAUUCGAUGUGUAGCGGUGAAUUGCGUAGAUAUAUGGAGGAACACCGGUGGCGAAGGCGACUCUCUGAUCUGUAAAUGAAACUGUGGCUCGAAAGCGUGGGGAGCAAACAGG
rnacentral:rRNA from 1 species